CCGGAGGCGAAGGCGGCUUACUGGACGACAACUGACGUUGAGGCUCGAAGGCGUGGGGAGCAAACAGGAUUAGAUACCCUGGUAGUCCACGCAGUAAACGAUGAAUACUUGGUGUCGGGGAGGUAAACUCUUCGGUGCCGCAAGCAAACGCAUUAAGUAUUCCACCUGGGGAGUACGUUCGCAAGAAUGAAGCUCAAAGGAAUUGACGGGGACCCGCACAAGCGGUGGAGCAUGUGGUUUAAUUCGAAGCAACGCGAAGAACCUUACCAAAUCUUGACAUACUCUUGAAUAGUUUUGUAAUGAGACUAGACCUUCGGGACAAGGGAUACAGGUGGUGCAUGGUUGUCGUCAGCUCGUGUCGUGAGAUGUUGGGUUAAGUCCCGCAACGAGCGCAACCCUUGUCGUCAGUAGCCAGCAGUAAGAUGGGCACUCUGACGAGACAGCCGGAGAUAAUCCGGAGGAAGGUGGGGAUGACGUCAAAUCAUCAUGCCCCUUAUGAUUUGGGCUACACACGUGCUACAAUGGCGUAAACAAAGUGAAGCGAAGCCGCGAGGUCAAGCAAAUCACAAAAAUAACGUCUCAGUUCAGAUUGUAGUCUGCAACUCGACUAUAUGAAGCUGGAAUCGCUAGUAAUCGCAGAUCAGAAUGCUGCGGUGAAUACGUUCCCGGGUCUUGUACACACCGCCCGUCACACCAUGGGAGUCAUCAAUGCCCGAAGUCAGUGACCUAACCGAAAGGAAGGAGCUGCCGAAGGCAGGGAGGAUAACUGGGGUGAAGUCGUAACAAGGUGGCCGUAUCGGAAGG
rnacentral:rRNA from 1 species